rnacentral:ncRNA from 19 species
UUCUAAAUGACCGGCGACGGUUCUCCCUCGGGAGAUCAAAAGGGAACGUGGUGCGGGAUCAUCCUAACGCCACGGCUGCCCCCGCAACUGUAAGCGGCGAAUCUGCGUCACAGGCCACUGGGACAUCUCGGCCCCGGGAAGGCGACGCCAGGUAACGACCCGCGAGCCAGGAGACCUGCCGUCAACCGUGGUCACACG